UGUGUGUUAGUGGAAGCGUCUGGAAAGGCGCGCGAUACAGGGUGACAGCCCCGUACACAAAAAUGCACAUGCUGUGAGCUCGAUGAGUAGGGCGGGACACGUGGUAUCCUGUCUGAAUAUGGGGGGACCAUCCUCCAAGGCUAAAUACUCCUGACUGACCGAUAGUGAACCAGUACCGUGAGGGAAAGGCGAAAAGAACCCCGGCGAGGGGAGUGAAAAAGAACCUGAAACCGUGUACGUACAAGCAGUGGGAGCACGCUUAGGCGUGUGACUGCGUACCUUUUGUAUAAUGGGUCAGCGACUUAUAUUCUGUAGCAAGGUUAACCGAAUAGGGGAGCCGAAGGGAAACCGAGUCUUAACUGGGCGUUAAGUUGCAGGGUAUAGACCCGAAACCCGGUGAUCUAGCCAUGGGCAGGUUGAAGGUUGGGUAACACUAACUGGAGGACCGAACCGACUAAUGUUGAAAAAUUAGCGGAUGACUUGUGGCUGGGGGUGAAAGGCCAAUCAAACCGGGAGAUAGCUGGUUCUCCCCGAAAGCUAUUUAGGUAGCGCCUCGUGAAUUCAUCUCCGGGGGUAGAGCACUGUUUCGGCAAGGGGGUCAUCCCGACUUACCAACCCGAUGCAAACUGCGAAUACCGGAGAAUGUUAUCACGGGAGACACACGGCGGGUGCUAACGUCCGUCGUGAAGAGGGAAACAACCCAGACCGCCAGCUAAGGUCCCAAAGUCAUGGUUAAGUGGGAAACGAUGUGGGAAGGCCCAGACAGCCAGGAUGUUGGCUUAGAAGCAGCCAUCAUUUAAAGAAAGCGUAAUAGCUCACUGGUCGAGUCGGCCUGCGCGGAAGAUGUAACGGGGCUAAACCAUGCACCGAAGCUGCGGCAGCGACGCUGAUGCGUUGUUGGGUA
rnacentral:rRNA from 1 species